rnacentral:rRNA from 1 species
GACAGAGGGUGCAAACGUUGUUCGGAAUUACUGGGCGUAAAGCGCGUGUAGGCUGCUUGGAAAGUCGGAUGUGAAAGCCCUGGGCUCAACCUAGGAAGUGCAUUCGAAACUUCUGAGCUUGAGUGUCGGAGAGGAAGGCGGAAUUCUCGGUGUAGAGGUGAAAUUCGUAGAUAUCGAGGGGAACACCUGUGGCGAAGGCGGCCUUCUGGACGACAACUGACGCUGAGACGCGAAAGCGUGGGGAGCAAACAGG